rnacentral:rRNA from 1 species
GAACGCUGGCGGCGUGGAUUAGGCAUGCAAGUCGAACGGUAUCAUCUUCGGGGGUGAGAGAGUGGCGAACUGGUGAGUAACACGUAGGUUAUCUACCCUCAAGACGGGGACAACCCAGGGAAACUUGGGCUAAUACCGGAUGUGAGCAACUUUUAGUUGUUUGAAAGGUGGCGUAAGCUGUCGCUUGGGGAUGAGCCUGCGUCCUAUUAGUUAGUUGGUGAGGUAACGGCUCACCUAGGCAAUGAUAGGUAGGCGGCCUUAACGGGUGGUCGCCCACACUGGGAUUGAGAUACGGCCCAGACUCCUACGGGAGGCAGCAGUCGAGAAUAGUCUACAAUGGUCGGAAGACUGAUAGUGCGACGCCGCGUGAACGAUGAAUCCCUUCGGGGUGUAAAGUUCUUUUAUAUGUGAGCAGUGCUUCUUAUAUUAACAGUAUGGGGAGAGAGAUAUUAGCAUAUGAAUAAGCAACGGCUAACUCCGUG